rnacentral:rRNA from 1 species
CAGUCGAGCGACAUUUGAGAGCUUGCUCUCAAUGUUAGCGGCGGACGGGUGAGUAACACGUGGGCAACCUGCCUAUAAGACUGGGAUAACUUCGGGAAACCGGAGCUAAUACCGGAUAAUUCACAUCUACUCAUGUAGAUGUGCUGAAAGACGGUUUACGCUGUCACUUAUAGAUGGGCCCGCGGCGCAUUAGCUAGUUGGUGAGGUAACGGCUCACCAAGGCCACGAUGCGUAGCCGACCUGAGAGGGUGAUCGGCCACACUGGGACUGAGACACGGCCCAGACUCCUACGGGAGGCAGCAGUAGGGAAUCUUCCGCAAUGGACGAAAGUCUGACGGAGCAACGCCGCGUGAGUGAUGAAGGUUUUCGGAUCGUAAAACUCUGUUGUUAGGGAAGAACAAGUACCAGAGUAACUGCUGGUACCUUGACGGUACCUAACCAGAAAGCCACGGCUAACUACGUGCCAGCAGCCGCGGUAAUACGUAGGUGGCAAGCGUUGUCCGGAAUUAUUGGGCGUAAAGCGCGCGCAGGCGGCCCUUUAAGUCUGAUGUGAAAGCCCACGGCUCAACCGUGGAGGGUCAUUGGAAACUGGGGGACUUGAGUACAGAAGAGAAGAGUGGAAUUCCACGUGUAGCGGUGAAAUGCGUAGAGAUGUGGAG